UUUUUAUUUUAUUUUCUUUUUCCACACCAAGAUGUCUGUACACACCUUACUUCAGAUGCUUUUUUUAAAAGCUUUCAAAGCCAAGGCCCUGAGAUUACAAGCGUCAGGUAAACCUAAGCGUUGUUCACAUUUCAUUGAAACCUAAAGAUUUGAAUGCGUGCAAGCAGUGUGUUGAAAAGAACAAGGAAAUCUGCUAACCUAUGGCUGAGCAUCUAAAGACUUCUGUUUCAACCAAAUUUCUGACAAAAGGCGUUUUGAAUCUUUGUCUAUCAAUUUGUAGAAAAAAAUAGUGCCCAGAAAUUUUAAUUCCACAAGAAAACGCUGACAUGGGCAUGAAUUCAAGCACGUGAUGAAGAAGACACUGGAGAUCA
rnacentral:ribozyme from 1 species